UCUCUCUCUCUCUCUCUCUCUCUCUUUCUCUCUCUAACACGUUCUCAGUGUUCAUUCAGUAUUCAGUAAUCAUCUUCUCACCAAUUGGUAAUGGCUUCCCUUGCGUUUUCUUCUGGAAGUGUCGCAGCUACGAACAAGUUUCGGUCUUCAAUCCCUGCUAAGAACGGCUUAAUUAGUUGCAGGGUCAAUUUUAAGGAAAAUGGGAGGCUGGGUGCACAGACCCUCAUCAGUGAGCAAGAAACAGUGCCUGACUUCUUGACCUCAAACCAUUUUGAGAAAACUCCAAUAAGAAAAGAUGAGAAUAGACUUCGGAUCUUUUCAGGCACUGCCAAUCCUUUAUUAUCUGAGGAAAUUGCAUGUUACAUGGGUCUGGACCUUGGAAAAAUCGAUAUUAAACGCUUUGCUGAUGGAGAAAUAUAUGUCCAAUUGCGUGAGAGUGUAAGAGGGUGUGAUGUAUAUCUUGUGCAACCAACUUGUCCUCCUGCAAAUGAGAAUCUUAUGGAGCUUUUGAUUAUGAUAGAUGCAUGUCGCAGAGCAUCUGCGAAAACCAUUACUGCAGUUAUCCCAUACUUUGGAUAUGCAAGGGCUGAUCGGAAGACUCAAGGACGAGAAUCUAUUGCAGCUAAACUUGUUGCAAAUCUGAUAACAGAAGCAGGAGCAGACAGAGUCCUUGCUUGUGAUCUUCAUUCUGGGCAAUCAAUGGGCUAUUUUGAUAUUCCAGUUGAUCAUGUUCAUGGUCAGCCUGUGAUACUUGAUUACCUUGCCAGCAAGACCAUUUAUUCUGAUGAUUUAGUAGUUGUCUCACCGGAUGUUGGUGGAGUGGCUAGAGCACGAGCUUUUGCCAAAAAAUUAUCUGAUGCGCCAUUGGCAAUUGUUGAUAAGCGGCGUCAUGGGCACAAUGUGGCAGAAGUGAUGAAUUUGAUUGGUGAUGUGAAGGGUAAAGUAGCAGUCAUGGUUGAUGAUAUGAUUGACACUGCUGGUACUAUCUCUAAAGGAGCAGCACUGUUGCAUCAUGAAGGGGCAAGGGAAGUUUAUGCAUGCAGCACACAUGCUGUUUUUAGCGCAGUCCACCUGCGAUUGAGAGGUUGUCAAGUGGUCUGUUUCAAGAGGUAAUUAUCACGAAUACCAUUCCAGUGUCAGAGAAGAACUAUUUUCCGCAACUGACUGUCCUAUCGGUAGCAAACCUACUUGGCGAGAGCAUCUGGCGUGUGCAUGAUGACUACUCUGGAGGCUUCGAACACUUCUCCGGCCUGGGCAUCGAUUAAUUUGAGAUGCAAGCAGCAAUGUGUAUUUGACAUGGCUUCAUUACGCCCACUUGAUUGAUUUAAUCUCAACGCCCAUGAUCCUUUGUACAAAUGUGACCUUUUCGAACUUUUGUGGUGUAAAGGCCUCAAUAAAUUAAAUUACAUCUAUAUAUGAGGUACAAACUAUUCGAGACAUGUGACAUCCGUCAUUUUUGGGCG